ensembl:lncRNA
GUAUCCACAUGUAUCCAGGAAAUAUUUUCUUUUGAACAGUAAUAUGUGGUUGACUUUUUUUUUUUUCUCCUUAUUUUCCAUUUUGCUAGCUAUAACUACUUCAUAUUUCUGAAUAAGUUUUCAUACUUUUAUUAAUGGAUACCAGGGUAUUCUGUCAGAGUUCACCUGGAGAUCUUCAUCUUGGGAGAUAAAGACAGCUUUUAGGAUUAUGAAAUGUUAUAUACUGCUUCUGCCUGAAAAUGUCUUCAUGCUUUUGGUAGCAUUUCUGCCAAAUGCUUCUUCCAUACUUCCCUUCAGUUUGCACCUGGGAUAACAAAAGGGUAUCCCUAAGCCAAUUCAAGUACUAGUGACUGUAUUUUUUGAAUGGUAGGAUCCUCCUAGGAAAUUCUUGCGGAAAGAGAGAAGUGUCUGGGGUCUGCAAUGUGUUGCUGGUAUGUGAACAGAGCAGUACUUUUCCCUGCAAGUUCCACCUCUGCUGUCAGAGGCGUUACUCUAUGUCAUAAUACACUUAUAAGCAGAUUGCAAAGCAUGAUAGAAAUGAAAGCCAUGUUAAAGAAACUAAGGGGAUACACUCAGUUGGUAGCAAUAUGAUAAGAAGCGAACCAAAGGAACACAGAGUGACAUACUUGUGUAGCUAAUACAAAUUAAACUCUGGUAACUUCACAGACUUGUACUCCAAGGGCUGUGGCCUGGAUUCAGGAGAGCCACUUAAAACUGUGCUUGCAUAUAAAACAUAUGUUAAAAUGCUUCCCUGAACCUAGGCUGGGAUCCUCAAGAGAGCUAAAUCAGCAUUGCUUUGCAGCUAACAAGGCACUGUCAAUUUGCCUCAGUCGAGGACCUAGCCCUGUCUAUGGAUAGUCAGUGGGCUAUAUUUGCACUGAAUCUCUUUCUUGGCAUGAUUCAUUUACUGUUCUUGCCUUUAUGUGGAUUUUACUGUGGUGAAAUGCAGAAGGAGGGAAUUUUGCCUUAAUGCAAUCCCGUUGAUGCAAUCUCAGUUCCCUCCCUCCUUCCCUCCCCUCCAGCCUUUCCAGAAUUGCCUUAAUAAAGAACCAAUAUUCAAUGACGUGAGAAGUCUCUCCAAAUAAAAUGUUCUAUAAA